rnacentral:rRNA from 1 species
AGUGAACAAUUAAACGGCCGCGGUACCCUAACCGUGCAAAGGUAGCAUAAUCAUUUGUCUAUUAAUUGUAGACCAGUAUGAAUGGCAAAAUGCGGGCCUAUCUGUCUCUUACAAUAAGUCAAUUAAACUGAUCUUCUAGUAAAAAAGCUAGAAUCCACACACAAGACCAGAAGACCCUGUGAAGCUUAAACUAAACUAUUAAACCCUAUAAUAUCUACUUUGGGUUGGGGCGACCUUGGAAAAAAAAAGAACUUCCAAACAUAUGACCACACUCAUUCAUCAGGCCCACAAGCCUAAUAAAAGACCCAGUACAGCUGAUAAUUGAACCAAGUUACUCCAGGGAUAACAGCGCCAUCUUCUUCAAGAGUCCAUAUCAAAAAGAAGGUUUACGACCUCGAUGUUGGAUCAGGACAUCCUAAUGGUGCAGUCGCUAUUAAGGGUUCGUUUGUUCAACGAUUAAUAGUCCUACGUGA